UACGGGGGGGGCAAGCGUUGUUCGGAAUUACUGGGCGUAAAGGGCUUGUAGGUGGCCAACUAAGUCAGACGUGAAAUCCCUCGGCUUAACCGGGGAACUGCGUCUGAUACUGGAUGGCUUGAGUGUGGGAGAGGGAUGCGGAAUUCCAGGUGUAGCGGUGAAAUGCGUAGAUAUCAGGAGGAACACCGGUGGCGAAGGCGGAUCUCUGGGCCUUACCUGACGCUCAGGUGCGAAAGCUAGGGGAGCGAACAGG
rnacentral:rRNA from 1 species